ensembl:lncRNA
CCACGUUGGAAGGAAAUUGGGAAAUUCUCCAUCACUGCUCUCAAUGGGAACUGUUGUGCACUAAUCUGGAGCUGGAAACAUGAACCCAUGUGACCAGGAAUGUGUUGGCAAUGGUAUAAAACAAAGGCUCUGUCCCGGGAAGUCAGAAUGCCUGCAGAAUUAUUGAGAUGAAUACUUCAGAUUGUCCCGAGGAGAGACACUUCGCAGAGACAGCUCAUGCAAAGGAGCCAUGCAAAUUGGGCUGAUAAAUAUUUAGCAGGAGGGGAAGGCAACAAAAAGUGGUUGUGUUCUGCCUCCAGGAUGCUGCAGCAGCGCGUGGUGCACACGUGAGCAUAGAGGGCUCUGCAAGGAUUGCACCAUCAGUGACUUCGGAACCCCUUGCAGUCAGCACAGACUAUGAUUUAAAGAUGCGCAAGAGAAACCUGUGGCUCCUCUCAAGGGCUCCUUUCAGCUGAUGGAUGUGAUCCGACCUGCAGCUUCCUCCCUCUGUUCCAGGGCUCAGAGCACAUCGGGAGCACUGCUGGGGAUGCUCCGGGCUGCAGAGAGCUGCACAGCAGCGCUGCCUGUUGCUGUGUCACACCACAGGUGAGUGGUGCACCCUGCUGAGGCCAUUCUGCUCGAUGGGAGCUCCAUUUCAAGCCAACACGGAUCUGAUGAGAGUUGUAGAGGACAGGCUGGGGAGCAUCGCUGCAGGUAGCUCUGGGUGCUGGCACACAGCCUGGGUGCGAGGCGGAGGAAGAGAGGGGGCUUCAUUCACAGCCACAAGGCAGCCAGUACCAAAACGAGCCUGGAGAAGGAGAAGAACCCACACUCCAAAGGGAGCUUGGAGCACAUUCCUGCAGUGAGGCUGUGCUGCCGGGGUCUGGCUGCCUCCCCCUCUGCUACCACCGUAAUUAGGAGAGAGCUUUUGUUCCAUUUGCCCUGCCUCAUUUCACCGCCUUUGUUUUUCUUGCAAAGCCGGCGUUCCCGAUUUAUGCUGAAUUCUGCAGGCUGGGUAAUGCCAUGUGAGCCUGCAUAAGUUAUCACCUCGAGACUCACACCCGAAGGGCUGCGAGCUCAGGAAGGCGCAAGUGGGGCUCUCAGCAGCCCCUUCCCCACAGCUCUCCAGAACAAACACACCUCCCUCACCGAGCUCUGGCAGGUUAUGCGGCCCAUAAAUCAGGAUUCCCGCAGCAAUCGCCCAUCUGGUUUUGGGGCACGGGUUCCCACGGGCUCACAGCCCAGCGGAGGGGCUGAUAUGGGGGUUGGGGACUCACCCAGCCCGCCCCCCGCCCCGGCAGGGCCGUAUCUUUGUGCUCCCACCACCCUCCCUCCCAGCCCCACUGUGCUCCACGGCAGCGCGGCUCAUUUUCUCCUCUGCUUUUCCUACCCGUAAUUCAGGCUGGCUUGCGGUUUUUGACACUCAGAUCACUCCAGAUAAGAAUUCUCCACCAUUAUUAUGCAGAUGAGCUUAUGAAUGCCCCUAAGUGCUUUUUGCUUCUGCAGCGAGGGGCUUAGAACAAUGCGGUGUUUAUUUGGCAGACGUGGGGCGAAUGCUAAGUGGCAGCACCGGGUGAGCAUCUCUCAAACACACCAACACUGCCCAGGGCUGGGGCUGCCCGCUGUGCUGCUCUCAGGGCAUCUCCCAUGCACAGAGCUGACAGGGAGAAGAUGUCUUGUUCCUCUCUCCCAACGGCUUUGCUCAGGGAAGAAGCAAUCCAACAUAGACGUUGAGUUUGGUGGAAUGGAGUGGGAUAGGAACAGAUGGGAUGGGAUGAGAUGGGAUGGGCUAGAACGGAUUGCAAUGGAAUAGAGUAGGAUAGGGUAGGGUAGGG